rnacentral:rRNA from 1 species
UACGUAGGUGGCGAGCGUUGUUCGGAUUUAUUGGGCGUAAAGGGUCCGCAGGGGGUUGAUUAAGUUUGACGUGAAAUCCCGGAGCUUAACUCCGGAACUGCGUUGAAGACUGGUUGACUAGAGUGUUGGAGAGGUAAUUGGAAUUCCAGGUGUAGCGGUGGAAUGCGUAGAUAUCUGGAAGAACAUCGAGAGCGAAGGCAGAUUACUGGACAACAACUGACCCUCAGGGACGAAAGCAUGGGGAGCAAAC